rnacentral:lncRNA from 1 species
AGCAGAUAGAUUGUAACAUAGUGAAUUUUGAUAUAAAAGUAAAAAUAAAUAAAAAUAGUGUGAGAUGCUAUUUUUAUUGGAUUUAGAGAAGUAAAAUAUAAGUCGAAAAUGACUUGUGCUGAAAUCGGAAUUAAAACAGAAGAUUUAGAAAUUUUCUGUGAGAAACGGAACUGAUAUUUUAGCAGAAAAUGCACAGUGUCAGAAAAUUAUAAAAGCUAGAGAAUAUGUCAGAAUUAUUUUUAUGAGAUUAGAUUUAAAGUUUCAUAUCAUUCUGACACCCGGAAGGUGGAAAAUAAAAUCCGACUGCUAUCUGCUAGAGAUUACAGUUCGGUAGAGCUUUCGAUAACCAAACAGGAUCGAAACUGAAAGAUUAAAAUUUUUUCGUCAAGUUAAGUAAAACCGAGCCUAACUAUCAAAUUUGAGCUCAA